rnacentral:rRNA from 1 species
UACGUAGGUGGCGAGCGUUGUCCGGAUUUACUGGGCGUAAAGGGAGCGUAGGCGGACUUUUAAGUGAGAUGUGAAAUACUCGGGCUCAACUUGAGUGCUGCAUUUCAAACUGGAAGUCUAGAGUGCAGGAGAGGAGAAUGGAAUUCCUAGUGUAGCGGUGAAAUGCGUAGGGAUUAGGAGGAACACCAGUGGCGAAGGCGAUUCUCUGGACUGUAACUGACGCUGAGGCUCGAAAGCGUGGGGAGCAAACAGG